rnacentral:rRNA from 1 species
GACGAACGCUGGCGGCGUGCUUAAUACAUGCAAGUCGAACGCUGAAGCUGAGCUUUUGUUGGGUGGAUGAGUGGCGAACGGGUGAGUAAAACGUGAGUAACCUGCCUCCUUUUUGGGGAUAACGCCCGGAAACGGGUGCUAUUACUGGAUAUUCACUGGUCUUCGCUUGGGGGUUGUUGUAAAGGGAUGUUCUGGUGGGGGAUGGGCCCGCGGCCUAUCAGCGUGUUGGUGGGGUGACGGCCUACCAAGGCUUCGACGAGUAGCUGGCCUGAGAGGGUGACCGGUCACACUGGAACUGAGAUACGGCCCAGACUCCUACGGGAGGCAGCAGUGGGGAAUAUUGCACAAUGGGCGAAAGCCUGAAGCAGCGACGCCGCGUGAGGGAUGGAGGCCUUCGGGUUGUGAACCUCUGUAGCGCAAGAUAAAGCCGCAACUAUGGUUGUCAUGAGGGUAGUGGGUAAGGAAGCGCCGGCUAACUACGUG